AAAGGAAAGGGGGAAAAACAGACAGAGAAAGAGAGAGAGAGAGAGAGAGAGAGAGAUGUGGAAAGAGAGAGAAAGAGCGCAGAAAUCUGCGGUGGGUCCAUUUUCUUUCCAGUCACCAUGAAAGGAGGACUCCUUUUCUCCAUUAAAACGGAAACAUAUUUCAGGUCUCGACGCUCUUUUCUGGGUCUGCGGCUUUCUUUUGCACUUGAAUGAAGUGAAACAACAAAAUGUGCGACAAAGAACCCAAACUUAAGGCAGAACAUCUGACCCCCACCACCACCACCCACCAGCCUGGGGUGAAAAUGGGCUCAUCUCAACCAGAUGAGGGAAAGAUAAGCGCCAUCUCAUGACGGAUGAUGCGCGUCGGAUGGCUCAACGACGCUCAUUAAUCUGCGGCGCAGAUGACCAUCUGCUGCAGAAGAAACUCCAUUUCACUAUAUAAACCAACAAAUUCCAAGAGGCUAUGCAGAGCUCAGCCUGUGUGGCAGCUGGGACACUUUCCUAAGGAAAUCCACCCCAAAGCCUGGUAAUAUUCUGACAAUAACUGUGCUAAUGAGAACUAAUACACAACAAAGAAGUGUCAUCCGGAGUUUUCAUUGUUUGUGAGUACUAUAACUAGCAACACAUCCCUCUGGGCAGGAAAACCUCUUCCUCCCCAGCUAUAGCUCCCCCUAGCCACCUCUCCAUAUUUCCUUGUUAGUGCACACCAGAAGCUCUGACCCUCCCUACUAAUCAACCAAGAAAAUACACUAAAAUACACCUGAAAACCUUCAUUUUUCUAUCUAAAUGUUGAGUAUAGAGACUUUAUCUGCCUUUCAGCCAACAUUGAGCACCAUUGGCCUCAGCAGAAGGGAGGAUUUCUUACCUUUUGAGUCUGGCUGUGCCUAUAUCUCACUCUCCAAAGUCCCAACCUCGACACCCUCCUUCUUCUUCCCAGCAAUCCCUGCAAAAAGGACACUUCCAUGUAUGUUGAAUAUGUAGGGGUGAUCAAAUUGGAUAAAACUAUUUUUAAAUAGCUCAGUUUGCCUCCAAAAUCCCCAGAAAGGUCAUUUAGGCCUUAAAUAUAUAUAAGCUCCAAUAUGGCAUCAUAAAAUGGCAUAAAAGUGACUUUAAAUAGCAAAGCCCCCUCCUCAUGAUACUCAGAUUUACCCCCUAAAAUUUCAACUUAUUCUGCUCCAUCCAAUAGUCACACAGUUGUUACUGAAGAGAAAUUGUCAGCGAGUGCGCAGCUGAACUCUCAGCUCCUUUCUGUGCCUUUCCAAGCCCUGGAGCAUCUCUGGGAGGAUACAAAUACUCAAUUGGUGAGAAUCAUUGGUAAAAGAGACAAUUUUCUUAAGGAUUUGGCUUUAAAAAAUGCAAAGGAUUUUUCCCCCACGGCGUAAAUUCCAGCUACACUGAAAGAGACCCGCAAAUCCAAGUGGACCUCUCCAAAAGUGUACAGGUGUAUCCAAAGGCACCAACAACUCUCCAAAGGCUCCCAGAGGUAAAGAAAUGAGAAUUUCACGCGAUUUCAAAUGUAAAAAUAAUAUUUUAUUCUAAUUUACUAACAAUACUCAAAGGAUUUGAGGAUACACUCUCACCAUUCCGCAUUUAAAGUCCAUUUUGGAGUCAGAUGAUACCAGUAAAAUGCUCCAAGUGGCGCAGUGGUGCCACAGACAGUGUAGUUUAUUAAUUCAUCAGCUUUUACUUUAUUUUCCUUAAAUAGUCAUUUAUUUAUACAGACAACAGUGUAUGACACACUACAGCCAGAAACUACCGUCUACUUGACCAACAACAACAAAGAAGAAGACCAAACUUGUUGUAAACGCACC